GUGGAUGUAGCUCAGUGGUUAGAGCUCCUGAUUGUGGUCCAGGAGGUCGUGAGUUCAAGUCUCAUCAUCCACCCCA
rnacentral:tRNA from 1 species